rnacentral:lncRNA from 1 species
AAUUAAUUAAUUAAAAUCUGAAAAAUUAUUUUUUUAGAAAAUAAAUAAACUUAAAGUUCGAAAAUAAAUAAAUAAACUGAAAAUGCAGAAAAUAAAUAAAUAAACUGAAAAUUCGAAAAUAAAUAAAUAAAUAAACUGAAAAUUCAGAAAAUAAAUAAAAUGGAAUUAAAUAAAUAAAUAAACUAAAAAUUCGAAAAUAAAUAAACUGGAAAUAAAUAAAUAAAUAAACUGAAAAUUUGAAAAUAAAUAAA